CUCUGUACAGAUGCAUUUAUUGGUUUCAAAUCACUUCUUUAUUUCUCAUUCUUUUGUUCAUUCAUACGUAGCACUCUUUUAAGUGGUAUACACUGCCUGGCCGAAAACAAAGUCGCACACUCUAAUAUUUAGUUGGACCGCCUUUAGCUUUGAUUACGGCACAUAUUCAUCGUGGCAUUGUUUCAACAACCUUAUGCAACGUCACAACAUUUAUUUCCGUCCAGAAUUGCAUUAAUUUUUGGCUGAGAUCUUGUAUUGACGACAGGAGAGUCGAAUCACUCCGUAAAGUCUUCUCCAGAACAUCCCAAAGACUUUCAAUGGGGUUAAGGUCAGGACUCUGUGGUGGCCAAUUUAUGUAUGAAAAUGAUUCCUCAUGCUCCCAGAACCACUCUUUCACAAUUUGAGCCCGAUGAAUCUUGGCAUUGUCGUCCUGGAAUAUGCCCGUGCCGCCUGGGAAGAAAAAAUCCAUUGAUGGGAUAACCUGGUCAUUCAGUACAUUCAGGUACUCAGCUGACUUCAUUUUAUUGCCACAUAACAUUGCUGAGCCUAGACCUGACCAAUUGAAGCAACCCCAGAUCAUAACACUGCCUCCAGAGGCUUGUGCAAUGGGCACUGUCCAAAAAAAUCCAAACGGCGACUUUUUUUUGGCCAGGCAGUAUAUGUUCUACAAUGUGUGUAUUUAACAUACACCGACAUACAUACAGUCACUGAUAUACAGGCUAAUUAUAUAUGUGAUUGUAAAACUUAAUUCAUGUCACAUUAUGACAUUAAAAGAAAAACAUCCUCAAUGACAUUAAAAAUGAAAAUGCUGCACUUUGGUAAUGGUAAAUUGGAAAACAUUGCAUGCCAGUGGACACACAGUGAACACAACAUGUACACAAACAUGUUUAGCACAAACAUUCCUGUGAGUGAACACACAAAGUGCACAGAACUCACAAAUGAGUUCUGGGCAAUGAUACAUCUUACACAUGAUUUGUUUAAUUACAAAUUUUUAAAGUAGCAUACACCAUCCGACUCAUUUUUAUUCUUAGGGAUCUAUUUUCUGGGAUCAAUGGUGCACGGAGAAUGUCUCAAAAAUAAAUAAAUAAAUGGAACUGGUCCACAAAUUUACCUUUGAUCAACAUUCAUAAUUUCAGAAUCUCUGGACAGGUCCAAAAUAAAUGUACCUAGGUGGCUCUUUGUUUAUUACAUUUGGAACACAGUAGGGAAACUGCAGAAUCAUACUUACUUCUAGUAAUUGGAGUAACAUAUAAUUCAUGAUUAAUCUUAUAUUUCAUUUCACAUGACUUAUUUGAACAGCUUAUAUUUUUAGCAUUCAGAAGAAUUCUUGUCUACAUAUGUACCUCUAUUUGUACUCCUAACUCUGUUUGGCUGGUUUUAUUAUUAUUAGUUGUUACUUUAAUUGUUUGAAAAAUAUUAUCAUGAAUACCGCUUUAUGGCAUUCGGACCGGCGGAUUGGUCUCAGCUGCACCGGCUGGUGGAGAGAGAGCACACGCAGCUGGGCCGCGUUAACUAAUAAGCCCAGGUGCUUAAAGGUGUGUUGCUUUCCACAGUUCAGGGCAGAGACUGGGAGCGUACACAGAGAGCACGUUUCUUUAUUUAAUUUUUGUUUGCAUGUUUGUUCAAGCAAUACAAGACGAGGAAAGACACUGGUCAACUGAAAAGCGGGCCAGCUACGAGCAGCGCACUGAAAAGUCGUCACUCUGUUUUACUUUCUUUUGUCUUUGUCAUUUUAGUUUGUUGUCUUAGUUUAUUAUUUUUGCCUAGAACCCGUGAGGGGGAAGGAUGAAGAUCUUCGUUUAUUUGAUUUCAUGUUUGUGUGGGUGCGCUCUCUCUCUCUCCAUGCGGCAACCAACGGUGUUUUCUGGAACUGACGCAUCUCCCUCCCAGGGGUGUCAUGCUGGCGUAUGACAAGCUUAUUACUUUUUUCCUAGAAGAUGCAGCUUGAAGCAAUCCUAUUUUGGCUAAGCAUGACCAUGUCCCUGAGCUCCAUAUAGAAAUGGUUUCGUCAAGAAUGUUGUGGAAGAAAAUGACUGGCCUGCACAGAGCCCUGACCUCAACCCAAUCCAACACCUUUGGGAUCAAUUGAAAAGCCAACUGCGAGCCAGGCCCAACUGCCCAGUCAGUGCCUGACCUCACUAAUGCUCUUCUGGCUGAACUGCCAGGACGGAUAUUUUCAUUCCAAUUGAUGAAAUGUUUGGGGGGAGAAGGGAUGAAAUCUGGUGUGCCUACGCAUCAU